UCCGUAGGUGAACCUGCGGAAGGAUCAUUACCAAAAUCUAGCUGCUCCGGUUCAGGCCGGUUGCACGCUUCAACCCUUUGUGAACCAAAAAACUUUACGCUUCGGCAGCUGGUUUUCAGCUGUAAGCCUGCCGAUGGCACCAAUUUAAACCUGUCGUUAAACACUGUCUGAACUAAACAUUUUCGAAUGAAAAUCAAAACUUUCAACAACGGAUCUCUUGGUUCUCGCAUCGAUGAAGAACGCAGCGAAACGCGAUAGUUAAUGUGAAUUGCAGAAUUCAGUGAAUCAUCGAGUCUUUGAACGCACAUUGCGCCCAUCGGUAUUCCUUUGGGCAUGUCUGUUUGAGCGUCAUUACAACACCUCAGCGCACGCUGGUUUUGAGCUGUGAGGGUUCUCUUCUGAGCCCUUCCGCUUUAAAGUUGUAAGCUCUGCUGGCUUCCAGCUUGACCGGAAACAUAGUAAACUUCUUGCUUGUUUAUGGAAAGGUUGUGGAGUUCGGCCUGAACAACACCUUCAACUUCUAAGGUUUGACCUCAGAUCAGACAAGGAUACCGCUGAACUUAAGCAUAUCAAUAAGCGGGAGGGGAAGGUCGGACUGGCCAAGGGCACACAGGGGGGGAUA
rnacentral:rRNA from 1 species